rnacentral:lncRNA from 1 species
UAUCAUAGUGCGGGGUUGACGAACCUUAACUUCACACCGGAUCUCUGGAAUAAGCCCUUCAAUAAAUGUAUCCAGAAGUUGUCGUUCCGACCAAUCUCUAGCUUGAUUUGAAAAUCUUUCAAACCUACUCCGAUAUUCCAACACUGUAGAAGUUUGACGAAUUUUGGCGAGCUGGCCAUCAACAUUUUCAUAUUCGGAUGGGCCAAAUCGAACAAGAAGCCCUCUUUU